rnacentral:lncRNA from 1 species
AGUUGCAUCCAACUUAUAAACAUGACUUGUAGGACGGUAUUCGCCAGUGCUUCUGACCACAUCAAACGUGGUAAGGGUGUACACGACACCUUCAGAUAGCUGUUUCUGAAAUAGGUAAAUUAGUGUUUUCUUCACACUGCAAUGAAUCCUAGUUCCCUGUAAUGGCAAAACAGUUAGUUAAUAUGACGUAAAUCUCAACAUCUCAACAUGCUAGAAUAGAAAUAGAAAUUAUGUAAAAGAAGUGUUGUAAAUAUACCUCAGAAUCCAUCAAAACCAGUUCUAGUGAUCUAAAUUGGUUUGGUGUGUUGAACUCGGGAACUUCCCACAACCGAACAACCCUUAAUAUUAACCUCCAAUUACGGGGAACAUCAUUGAUAGUUGAAAUCAUAUCAAUGUGGUUUGCCAUCGUAUUUGAAAUUGAAAGACAACACUGUAUUGCUAAAAGCUUAGAUNNNNNNNNNNNNNNNNNNNNNNNNNNNNNNNNNNNNNNNNNNNNCUGAGUUGAUGUGUAUUUAUGGUGUCAUUGAUUGAAUAUUUGAUUUAAUAUGAUGCAGGUAUUCACAAUCGAAAAUCAUGGGAAAUAUUAAUGAGGUCAACCAUGAAGAGCUUAUUUGAAAGAGAAUGGACAUGAUUUGUUUUUCAUUAUGCCUUUCCAUAAAUAUUAGACUUGUUUUGAUCUAAUUUAGGUUUUAUUAUUUAUUUAAUUUUAAAAUUGAAAGCGGUAGUUUAAAAUUGAAAGCUAGUAUACAUUUGUGUAUCAUGCAUGUAUCUGCUAAGUUUGAAAAGAAACCACCAAAGUCUCAACCAAUAAACUUAGCUUGAAAUGAUUAUAUAUAGGUUUGUUGCAUGCUCUUAUAUAUUUCUUCUAUUUAUGUAUGCACGUAUUUCUUCCAUUUAUGUAUGCACAUAUUUCUUCUAUUUAAACGAUCGCACAAUAUAUACUCGAUUCUUCAGCCAAAGAAAUACGUGGAUUAAAAUGGCACAAUAUUUCUUGAAUUUGAGUUAUUUCCUUUUAAAAUUAUUUUUAAUAGGUGCAUUAAAUACGAUUUAUAAACAAUAAUUGAGGAAUGAUUCAAUUUCCAAAUUAGCCAAAGAUUCUAAGUAAAAUGAUAUCAUCAUGUAUUAGCCACAUAGGAAUUGGAAAAAUUGCAAAGGCCUUC